rnacentral:rRNA from 1 species
AGCGAACGCUGGCGGCAGGCUUAACACAUGCAAGUCGAGCGGGCACUCUCUGAUGUCAUCGUCGGACGGGUGGGUAACGCGUGGCAACGUGCCCUCUGGUUCGGAAUAACUCUGUCAUACUUGAGCUCAUACCGGAUACGCCCUUUUUAGCAAAGGCUGCCUGCCGGAGGAUCGGCCUGCGUCUGAUUAGCUAGGUGGUGAGGUAACGGCUCACCAAGGCGACUAUCAGUAGCUGGUAUGAGAGGAUGAUCAGGCAUACUGUGACUGAGACAAGGCGGAGAUAUCGAAGGGAGGGAGCAGUGGGGAAUAUUGGACAAUGCGCGCAAGACGGAGGCAGCCAUGCCGCGUGAGUGAUGAAGGCGUUAGGGAUGUAAAGCGCUUUUAUCCGGGACGAUAAGGACGGAACCGGAGGAAUAAGCCCCGGCUAACUUCGU